UUUUACUGUGGCCAGUCUGAUGCACACCUGUGCAGUAAUCAUGCUGUCUAAUCAGCAUCUUGAUAUGCCACACCUGUGAGGUGGAUGAAUGAGGUGCUCACUAACACAGAUUUAGACACAUUUGUCAACAAUAUUUGAAUGAAAUGGGUCUUUUUGUAUACAGAAAAAGAAAAGUCUUAAUCUUUGAGUUUAGCUCAUGAAAAGGGAGCAAAACAAAAAGUGUUGCAUUUAUAUUGUUGUUUUCAGUGUAUAUUUAAAGUCAAAUUUUAGAUGGCCAUAAGUUAUGUGUUGAAAAAUGAAAUGACAGGGAAAAUUCCCUGACAUCAUGUCAGUAGCACCUUUACAAAUAUGUUAUAUAAAUGAAACAAAUAGUGACGUGUUCACCACUUCUUUUACCCACUGUAUAUUGUAGAUGUUCCUUGAUUAUGUGUAAAGCUGUUUUCAAUAAAGACAUUUGUUAGCACAAAGAAUAAAAAAGUUUGAUCAUCAAAUGUGACAUUUUCUCAAUAAAUUCAAGGUAAAAAGUAAA